CAGUCGCCGCGGUAAUACGAAGGGGGCUAGCGUUGCUCGGAAUGACUGGGCGUAAAGGGCGCGUAGGCGGAUUGUUUAGUUAGGCGUGAAAUUCCUGGGCUUAACCUGGGGACUGCGCUUAAUACAGGCAGUCUAGAGUGAGGAAGAGGGUUGUGGAAUUCCCAGUGUAGAGGUGAAAUUCGUAGAUAUUGGGAAGAACACCGGUGGCGAAGGCGGCAACCUGGUCCUUGACUGACGCUGAGGCGCGAAAGCGUGGGGAGCAAACAGGAUUAGAUACCCCUGUAGUCCCUGUCUCUUAUAC
rnacentral:rRNA from 1 species